UCAUCAAGGCUAAAGGGAGAAGAGAGAGAGUACAGCCUUAACAUGCACGCACUUUAGAUUUCAUCAGUCUCUUGUGCGGUUAUGUGUGUGAGAGUGAUGAAGGCUGUACCCUCUCUCUUCUUCUCUUAGCGUUUUUGUUGC
rnacentral:pre_miRNA from 1 species